AACGAACGCUGGCGGCAUGCCUAACACAUGCAAGUCGAACGAGACCUUCGGGUCUAGUGGCGCACGGGUGCGUAACGCGUGGGAACCUGCCCUUAGGCUCGGAAUAACUCCCCGAAAGGGGUGCUAAUACCGGAUAAUGUCUUCGGACCAAAGAUUUAUCGCCUUUGGAUGGGCCCGCGUUGGAUUAGCUAGUUGGUAGGGUAAAAGCCUACCAAGGCGACGAUCCAUAGCUGGUCUGAGAGGAUGAUCAGCCACACUGGGACUGAGACACGGCCCAGACUCCUACGGGAGGCUGCAGUGGGGAAUAUUGGACAAUGGGCGAAAGCCUGAUCCAGCAAUGCCGCGUGAGUGAUGAAGGCCUUAGGGUUGUAAAGCUCUUUUACCCGGGAUGAUAAUGACAGUACCGGGAGAAUAAGCUCCGGCUAACUCCGUG
rnacentral:rRNA from 1 species